rnacentral:rRNA from 1 species
UGGGGAAUCUUGGACAAUGGGGGCAACCCUGAUCCAGCCAUGCCGCGUGGGUGAAGAAGGCCUUAGGGUUGUAAAGCCCUUUCAGUCGUGACGAUGAUGACGGUAGCGACAGAAGAAGCCCCGGCUAACUCCGUGCCAGCAGCCGCGGUAAUACGGAGGGGGCAAGCGUUGUUCGGAUUUACUGGGCGUAAAGGGCGCGUAGGCGGACGGUCAAGUCAGAGGUGAAAGGCCCGGGCUCAACCUGGGACGUGCCUUUGAAACUGGUUGUCUUGAGUGCGGAAGAGGGUGACGGAAUCCCCAGGGUAGAGGUGAAAUUCGUAGAUAUUGGGAAGAACACCGGUGGCGAAGGCGGCUCACUGGCUCGAUACUGACGCUGAGGUGCGAAAGUGUGGGGAGCAAACAGGAUUAGAUACCCGUGUAGUCC